GGCCCAGAUCGUUUACCGUGAAAAAAUUAGAGUGUUCAAAGCGGGCAGAUAUUUUUCCUGCCACCGAAUACAUUAGCAUGGGAUAAUGGAAUAGGACCCUGACCUCCUAUUUUCAGUUGGUUUUGUUUACAGCGAGGUUAUAUCAGGGUAAUGAUUAAUAGGGAUAGUUGGGGGCAUUAAUAUUUAAUUGUCAGAGGUGAAAUUCUUGGAUUUAUGAAAGAUUAACUUCUGCGAAAGCGUUUGCCAAGGAUGUUUUCAUUAAUCAAGAACGAAAGUUAGGGGAUCGAAGACGAUCAGAUACCGUCGUAGUCUUAACCAUAAACGAUGCCGACCAGCGAUUAGGAGACGUUGAAUACAAAACACCGCUGUUAAUCCUUUCGGGGGUUAAUAGUUGGUGAAUGACUCCCCUAGCAGCUUGUGAGA
rnacentral:rRNA from 3 species